GUGAGGAAUAUUGCACAAUGGGCGAAAGCUUGAUGCAGCAACGCCGCGUGGGCGAUGAAGGUCUUCGGAUCGUAAAGCCCUUUUCCAGAGGAAGAGGAAGGACAGUACUCUGGGAAUAAGUGUCGGCUAACUACGUGCCAGCAGCCGCGGUAAAACGUAGGACACUAGCGUUAUCCGGAUUUAUUGGGCGUAAAGCGCGUGUAGGCGGUGUUCUAAGUUGGAUGUAAAAUCUCCUGGCCUAACUGGGAGGGGUCAUUCAAUACUGGAGCACUUGAGGGCAGAAGAGGGAAGUGGAAUUCCCGGUGUAGCGGUGGAAUGCGUAGAUAUCGGGAGGAACACCUGUGGCGAAAGCGGCUUCCUGGGCUGCCCCUGACGCUGAUACGCGAAAGCUAGGGGAGCGAACGGGAUUAGAAACCCCAGUAGUCC
rnacentral:rRNA from 1 species